rnacentral:rRNA from 1 species
AUUGAACGCUGGCGGCAUGCUUUACACAUGCAAGUCGAACGGCAGCGCGGGCUUCGGCCUGACGGCGAGUGGCGAACGGGUGAGUAAUACAUCGGAACGUGCCCAGUAGUGGGGGAUAGCUCGGCGAAAGCCGGAUUAAUACCGCAUACGACCUGAGGGUGAAAGCGGGGGAUCUUCGGACCUCGCGCUAUUGGAGCGGCCGAUGGCAGAUUAGCUAGUUGGUGGGGUAAAGGCCUACCAAGGCGACGAUCUGUAGCUGGUCUGAGAGGACGACCAGCCACACUGGGACUGAGACACGGCCCAGACUCCUACGGGAGGCAGCAGUGGGGAAUUUUGGACAAUGGGCGAAAGCCUGAUCCAGCAAUGCCGCGUGUGUGAUGAAGGCCUUCGGGUUGUAAAGCACUUUUGGCGGGAACGAAAAGGACUGUGCCAAUACCACGGUUCGAUGACGGUACCCGCAGAAUAAGCACCGGCUAACUACGU